rnacentral:rRNA from 1 species
UACGGAGGGUGCGAGCGUUGUCCGGAAUCACUGGGCGUAAAGGGCGCGUAGGUGGCGUUCCAAGUCAACGGUGAAAGCUCGAGGCUCAACCCCGAGUCGGCCGUCGAUACUGGGAGGCUUGAGCACUGUAGAGGCAGAUGGAAUUCCGGGUGUAGCGGUGAAAUGCGUAGAUAUCGAGAGGAACACCUGCGGCGAAGGCGGGUUGCUGGGCUGACACUGACGCUGAUGCGCGAAAGCCAGGGGAGCGAACGGG